rfam:Heterorhabditis bacteriophora unplaced genomic scaffold Scaffold1348, whole genome shotgun sequence.
GGACGGUGAAAGACAUGGGUAGUGAGACGCUGUGUUCUGGCCGUAUCACUAUUCUGUUUUUCGCCAUCCG